CUCCUUUCCACACCAAGAGCAGGAGCAAAGCCAUGUCGGCAACGCAUGGCACAUCCCUUCUGCAAUCGAAGAAUUGCGUUCCACCUCCUUCUCCUACGAACUCCUCGCUGUCACCGGCCGCGGGCGACGUGUGGCUCGCCGAUUUGCUUCCAUCGGCCAUCUGUUACAUCGCCUAGCAUACGCGGCGCGCACACCGAUCUCUUGUUGGUUUCGCUUUCGCCUCCCCGAUUUGCCUCCUUAAGGCCCAGCAUCAAGCUCUGCCGAUCCCCGAGCAGCAGCGGCUGGCAUCGGCGUCCACAUCUCUCCAGAGGCGGCCGCGCACAGUGGGCUAAGAUUGAUGCAAGGGGUGGCGACCAGCUUGGGGCAGCAACUGCAUCUUGUGAGAAAAUUGGAUUCAGAACAUACCGAUGAUUUUCUUGCAAGUUGUGCAGUUGUUGUCUCAAGCUUGCUGCCUCCCUUUGCCAAAACUAAGAAGUGCAAUAGCAGAAUCAUGCAAUGUAAAUACAUGAAAGUAACAAAUUUCUUGACAACAGAUAUGAUGGCUAUUUACCAUGGAACAUAUUAUGAUGCAUGAUGAUAUUAAACAAAGUAGCUGGACAAGCCGUUUUAUUGUCAUACAUGUAGGCACUAGUGUUCAUUUUUGCAAUAUGGACGCUACCUAGCUACAUAGGUCUUAAAUUCUGUUGUGAGCAAAAUGUAUUUAGGUUGGCGGACGGUUAUGCACAUUUUGGUAGUGCCACAACCACUAUUUAAUGGCAAAUCAGCUCAAAGACAAAUAAAGUCAUAACAGAGACUUUGGGGAGCAGUCAAAGGUGCAAACUAGGAGUGGUUGUGGAUCAACACUCUGAUUGGUUCAUACAGAGAAUCCACCUUCGUUCAGAUUGGCAACGGUGAAUGUACAGCCUCGUGGAAAGAUAAAUGGACAAGCAACAAGCCAUUGCACAUUCAGUUCCCUGCUUUGUUCUCACAUACUAAUCGACCGAACAUCUUGGUCGCUGAUUGCUUUCAGAACGGAGAAUGGGUGAUACCUUUGAUGCAUAUUACGCCGGAUCGUGCUGAACAAGAAAGGUGGAAUUGCUGGCCUUCCUGAAUGCAUGCUCUCUUGACUAGCCAACUCCAGAUAGGAGAGGAUGGAGACUGAAUAUUACAGAGUCCUCAGUCAAAAACAUGUAAUAUGAGUUAUGCAACUGGGGGUGGAUUGCACACUUCAGUGCCAACACAAUCUGUAGCUGUGCUGCCCCAUGAAAAGUGAAAUUAUUCAGCUGUGCUGCCCCAUGAAAAGUGAAAUUAUUCGCCUGGCUCAUGAUAAAA